rnacentral:rRNA from 1 species
UACGUAGGGGGCUAGCGUUAUCCGGAAUUACUGGGCGUAAAGGGUGCGUAGGUGGUUUCUUAAGUCAGAAGUGAAAGGCUACGGCUCAACCGUAGUAAGCUUUUGAAACUAAGAGACUUGAGUGCAGGAGAGGAGAGUAGAAUUCCUAGUGUAGCGGUGAAAUGCGUAGAUAUUAGGAGGAAUACCAGUUGCGAAGGCGACUCUCUGGACUGUAACUGACACUGAGGCACGAAAGCGUGGGGAGCAAACAGGAUUAGAUACCCUGGUAGUCCACGCCGUAAACGAUGAGUACUAGCUGUCGGGGGUUACCCCCCUCGGUGGCGCAGCUAACGCAUUAAGUACUCCGCCUGGGAAGUACGCUCGCAAGAGUGAAACUCAAAGGAAUUGGCGGGG